AUAAAUUUAGUUAAAAAUAACAUUAAUUUGUCAUAUUAAAAAAACUUAUUUUAAAUAAGUAAUUUAUG
rnacentral:tRNA from 1 species